rnacentral:rRNA from 1 species
UACGUAGGGGGCAAGCGUUGUCCGGAUUUAUUGGGCGUAAAGAGCGUGUAGGCGGCCUGAAAGGUCAGCUGUGAAAACUCGAGGCUCAACCUCGAGACGUCGGUUGAAACCGUCUGGCUAGAGUCCGGAAGAGGAGUGUGGAAUUCCCGGUGUAGCGGUGAAAUGCGCAGAUAUCGGGAAGAACACCCGUGGCGAAGGCGGCACUCUGGGACGGUACUGACGCUGAGACGCGAAAGCGUGGGGAGCGAACAGG